AUACUUACCUGGCAGGGGAGACACCAUGAUCACGAAGGUGGUUUUCCCAGGGCGAGGCUUAUCCAUUGCACUCCGGAUAUGCUGACCCCUGCGAUUUCCCCAAAUGUGGGAAACUCGACUGCAUAAUUUGUGGUAGUAGGGGACUGUGUUCGCACUCUCUCCUG
rnacentral:snRNA from 1 species